rnacentral:lncRNA from 1 species
GAUCGGACAGAUUGGUAAUACGGGGAUUCCAUGGUCUAGCACAUACCCUAAUUUCUCACAAUUCAAAACUAUUUUUGAAAUUUGCUUAACCAGUCUUUAUAAUUGGGUUUGAUCAAACGGUUGUUCUAUAGGAUAUGAGUUAAAAGUCUAGAAGCUGACAUUAUAAUCCUCAGAGAGUAAAGAUUCUAGUUAGAAUUUUGUACUUGAUCCUAAUUUGUUCUAGGGUCUUUUAGAACAAACGUACCUCCCACUAUUUUCUCGAAUUCCUCACACUCCCCUGGUAGGAAAAUGGAAAACUUACACGACUAGAAUUUCUAGUGGGUACUGCGGUCCCACCGAUUUAUAUGCCACCUCACCUAACAGUUAUUGGUGACACAUAAAUAGAGAGUAAGGUCCUAAUUAAGUAACCACCUUUCAUGCUUUUCUAGAUACCAAUUAAAUCAAUUAAUCUAAUAUGACUCGCUCAUGUCGGUUCACUCUCGACUUGAUUGAGGAGGUUUUAGUUUAGGUCUCAUUUGAAUUGGUCUAUUAGUUUGCAUC